rnacentral:lncRNA from 1 species
AUUCAGAGCAUUUAUUGACAUUUCCAUUUAAAAUGCUAGGAAAGCUGUAUAAAUUGUAAACAUGGAAACCAAACACUUGCAUAAAUUAUUUCAAAAACUCUACAGCACAUUAGAAAACAGUGCAGCUAAUUGAAGGGAAGAAACAUAACCAGCAAAGAGAAGAGAGAGCUUGAUUACUAAAUCAUUUACCCAUACUGAAAUUUAAGGGCCCAUUUGAGACCAGCAAACCAUGAUUGUCAAGUUCAAAGCUGCAGGAUUGAUGCCACGAGUGGCCUCAAUUUACUCUGCAUUUUUUCGUACAUUAACACUCAUAAUCUAGGAAUGAGAGUGCAGGAACUCAGAAGAACAUGGACCUUAACAAAGUCGGAGGUGGCCAGUGGGCACACCAGAGCGCUCGGUUUGACAGCCUGUCCUGGAAGGGUGCAAUUCACCCC